rnacentral:rRNA from 1 species
GAUUAAGUUAUUAAGGGCGCACGGUGGAUGCCUUGGCACUAGAAGCCGAUGAAGGACGUUACUAACGACGAUAUGCUUUGGGGAGCUGUAAGUAAGCUUUGAUCCAGAGAUUUCCGAAUGGGGAAACCCAGCAUGAGUUAUGUCAUGUUAUCGAUAUGUGAAUACAUAGCAUAUCAGAAGGCACACCCGGAGAACUGAAACAUCUUAGUACCCGGAGGAAGAGAAAGAAAAUUCGAUUCCCUUAGUAGCGGCGAGCGAAACGGGAAGAGCCCAAACCAACAAGCUUGCUUGUUGGGGUUGUAGGACACUCUAUACGGAGUUACAAAGGACGACAUUAGACGAAUCAUCUGGAAAGAUGAAUCAAAGAAGGUAAUAAUCCUGUAGUCGAAAAUGUUGUCUCUCUUGAGUGGAUCCUGAGUACGACGGAGCACGUGAAAUUCCGUCGGAAUCUGGGAGGACCAUCUCCUAAGGCUAAAUACUCUCUAGUGACCGAUAGUGAACCAGUACCGUGAGGGAAAGGUGAAAAGCACCCCGGAAGGGGAGUGAAAUAGAACCUGAAACCGUGUGCUUACAAGUAGUCAGAGCCCGUUAAUGGGUGAUGGCGUGCCUUUUGUAGAAUGAACCGGCGAGUUACGAUUUGAUGCAAGGUUAAGCAGUAAAUGUGGAGCCGUAGCGAAAGCGAGUCUGAAUAGGGCGUUUAGUAUUUGGUCGUAGACCCGAAACCAGGUGAUCUACCCUUGGUCAGGUUGAAGUUCAGGUAACACUGAAUGGAGGACCGAACCGACUUACGUUGAAAAGUGAGCGGAUGAACUGAGGGUAGCGGAGAAAUUCCAAUCGAACCUGGAGAUAGCUGGUUCUCUCCGAAAUAGCUUUAGGGCUAGCCUCAAGUGAUGAUUAUUGGAGGUAGAGCACUGUUUGGACGAGGGGCCCCUCUCGGGUUACCGAAUUCAGACAAACUCCGAAUGCCAAUUAAUUUAACUUGGGAGUCAGAACAUGGGUGAUAAGGUCCGUGUUCGAAAGGGAAACAGCCCAGACCACCAGCUAAGGUCCCAAAAUAUAUGUUAAGUGGAAAAGGAUGUGGCGUUGCCCAGACAACUAGGAUGUUGGCUUAGAAGCAGCCAUCAUUUAAAGAGUGCGUAAUAGCUCACUAGUCGAGUGACACUGCGCCGAAAAUGUACCGGGGCUAAACAUAUUACCGAAGCUGUGGAUUGUCCUUUGGACAAUGGUAGGAGAGCGUUCUAAGGGCGUUGAAGCAUGAUCGUAAGGACAUGUGGAGCGCUUAGAAGUGAGAAUGCCGGUGUGAGUAGCGAAAGACGGGUGAGAAUCCCGUCCACCGAUUGACUAAGGUUUCCAGAGGAAGGCUCGUCCGCUCUGGGUUAGUCGGGUCCUAAGCUGAGGCCGACAGGCGUAGGCGAUGGAUAACAGGUUGAUAUUCCUGUACCACCUAUAAUCGUUUUAAUCGAUGGGGGGACGCAGUAGGAUAGGCGAAGCGUGCGAUUGGAUUGCACGUCUAAGCAGUAAGGCUGAGUAUUAGGCAAAUCCGGUACUCGUUAAGGCUGAGCUGUGAUGGGGAGAAGACAUUGUGUCUUCGAGUCGUUGAUUUCACACUGCCGAGAAAAGCCUCUAGAUAGAAAAUAGGUGCCCGUACCGCAAACCGACACAGGUAGUCAAGAUGAGAAUUCUAAGGUGAGCGAGCGAACUCUCGUUAAGGAACUCGGCAAAAUGACCCCGUAACUUCGGGAGAAGGGGUGCUCUUUAGGGUUAACGCCCAGAAGAGCCGCAGUGAAUAGGCCCAAGCGACUGUUUAUCAAAAACACAGGUCUCUGCUAAACCGUAAGGUGAUGUAUAGGGGCUGACGCCUGCCCGGUGCUGGAAGGUUAAGAGGAGUGGUUAGCUUCUGCGAAGCUACGAAUCGAAGCCCCAGUAAACGGCGGCCGUAACUAUAACGGUCCUAAGGUAGCGAAAUUCCUUGUCGGGUAAGUUCCGACCCGCACGAAAGGCGUAACGAUUUGGGCACUGUCUCAACGAGAGACUCGGUGAAAUCAUAGUACCUGUGAAGAUGCAGGUUACCCGCGACAGGACGGAAAGACCCCGUGGAGCUUUACUGUAGCCUGAUAUUGAAAUUCGGCACAGCUUGUACAGGAUAGGUAGGAGCCUUUGAAACGUGAGCGCUAGCUUACGUGGAGGCGCUGGUGGGAUACUACCCUAGCUGUGUUGGCUUUCUAACCCGCACCACUUAUCGUGGUGGGAGACAGUGUCAAGCGGGCAGUUUGACUGGGGCGGUCGCCUCCUAAAAGGUAACGGAGGCGCUCAAAGGUUCCCUCAGAAUGGUUGGAAAUCAUUCAUAGAGUGUAAAGGCAUAAGGGAGCUUGACUGCGAGACCUACAAGUCGAGCAGGGUCGAAAGACGGACUUAGUGAUCCGGUGGUUCCGCAUGGAAGGGCCAUCGCUCAACGGAUAAAAGCUACCCCGGGGAUAACAGGCUUAUCUCCCCCAAGAGUUCACAUCGACGGGGAGGUUUGGCACCUCGAUGUCGGCUCAUCGCAUCCUGGGGCUGUAGUCGGUCCCAAGGGUUGGGCUGUUCGCCCAUUAAAGCGGUACGCGAGCUGGGUUCAGAACGUCGUGAGACAGUUCGGUCCCUAUCCGUCGUGGGCGUAGGAAAUUUGAGAGGAGCUGUCCUUAGUACGAGAGGACCGGGAUGGACAUACCUCUGGUGUACCAGUUGUCGUGCCAACGGCAUAGCUGGGUAGCUAUGUGUGGACGGGAUAAGUGCUGAAAGCAUCUAAGCAUGAAGCCCCCCUCAAGAU